AGAGUUUGAUCCUGGCUCAGGAUGAACGCUGGCGGCGUGCCUAAUACAUGCAAGUCGAGCGAACGGACGAGAAGCUUGCUUCUCUGAUGUUAGCGGCGGACGGGUGAGUAACACGUGGAUAACCUACCUAUAAGACUGGGAUAACUUCGGGAAACCGGAGCUAAUACCGGAUAAUAUUUUGAACCGCAUGGUUCAAAAGUGAAAGACGGUCUUGCUGUCACUUAUAGAUGGAUCCGCGCUGCAUUAGCUAGUUGGUAAGGUAACGGCUUACCAAGGCAACGAUGCAUAGCCGACCUGAGAGGGUGAUCGGCCACACUGGAACUGAGACACGGUCCAGACUCCUACGGGAGGCAGCAGUAGGGAAUCUUCCGCAAUGGGCGAAAGCCUGACUGAGCAACGCCGCGUGAGUGAUGAAGGUCUUCGGAUCGUAAAACUCUGUUAUUAGGGAAGAACAUAUGUGUAAGUAACUGUGCACAUCUUGACGGUACCUAAUCAGAAAGCCACGGCUAACUACGUGCCAGCAGCCGCGGUAAUACGUAGGUGGCAAGCGUUAUCCGGAAUUAUUGGGCGUAAAGCGCGCGUAGGCGGUUUUUUAAGUCUGAUGUGAAAGCCCACGGCUCAACCGUGGAGGGUCAUUGGAAACUGGAAAACUUGAGUGCAGAAGAGGAAAGUGGAAUUCCAUGUGUAGCGGUGAAAUGCGCAGAGAUAUGGAGGAACACCAGUGGCGAAGGCGACUUUCUGGUCUGUAACUGACGCUGAUGUGCGAAAGCGUGGGGAUCAAACAGGAUUAGAUACCCUGGUAGUCCACGCCGUAAACGAUGAGUGCUAAGUGUUAGGGGGUUUCCGCCCCUUAGUGCUGCAGCUAACGCAUUAAGCACUCCGCCUGGGGAGUACGACCGCAAGGUUGAAACUCAAAGGAAUUGACGGGGACCCGCACAAGCGGUGGAGCAUGUGGUUUAAUUCGAAGCAACGCGAAGAACCUUACCAAAUCUUGACAUCCUUUGACAACUCUAGAGAUAGAGCCUUCCCCUUCGGGGGACAAAGUGACAGGUGGUGCAUGGUUGUCGUCAGCUCGUGUCGUGAGAUGUUGGGUUAAGUCCCGCAACGAGCGCAACCCUUAAGCUUAGUUGCCAUCAUUAAGUUGGGCACUCUAAGUUGACUGCCGGUGACAAACCGGAGGAAGGUGGGGAUGACGUCAAAUCAUCAUGCCCCUUAUGAUUUGGGCUACACACGUGCUACAAUGGACAAUACAAAGGGCAGCGAAACCGCGAGGUCAAGCAAAUCCCAUAAAGUUGUUCUCAGUUCGGAUUGUAGUCUGCAACUCGACUACAUGAAGCUGGAAUCGCUAGUAAUCGUAGAUCAGCAUGCUACGGUGAAUACGUUCCCGGGUCUUGUACACACCGCCCGUCACACCACGAGAGUUUGUAACACCCGAAGCCGGUGGAGUAACCUUUUAGGAGCUAGCCGUCGAAGGUGGGACAAAUGAUUGGGGUGAAGUCGUAACAAGGUAGCCGUAUCGGAAGGUGCGGCUGGAUCACCU
rnacentral:rRNA from 1 species